rnacentral:rRNA from 1 species
GAUGAACGCUGGCGGCGUGCCUAAUACAUGCGAGUCGAGCGAACAGACGAGGAGCUUGCUCCUCUGACGUUAGCGGCGGACGGGUGAGUAACACGUGGAUAACCUACCUAUAAGACUGGGAUAACUUCGGGAAACCGGAGCUAACACCGGAUAAUAUAUUGAACCGCAUGGUUCAAUAGUGAAAGACGGUUUUGCUGUCACUUAUAGAUGGAUCCGCGCCGCAUUAGCUAGUUGGUAAGGUAACGGCUUACCAAGGCAACGAUGCGUAGCCGACCUGAGAGGGUGAUCGGCCACACUGGAACUGAGACACGGUCCAGACUCCUACGGGAGGCAGCAGUAGGGAAUCUUCCGCAAUGGGCGAAAGCCUGACGGAGCAACGCCGCGUGAGUGAUGAAGGUCUUCGGAUCGUAAAACUCUGUUAUUAGGGAAGAACAAAUGUGUAAGUAACUAUGCACGUCUUGACGGUACCUAAUCAGAAAGCCACGGCUAACUACGUG